rnacentral:rRNA from 1 species
UACGGGGGGGGCAAGCGUUGUUCGGAAUUACUGGGCGUAAAGGGCUCGUAGGCGGCCAACUAAGUCAUACGUGAAAUCCCUCGGCUUAACCGGGGAACUGCGUCUGAUACUGGAUGGCUUGAGUUCGGGAGAGGGAUGCGGAAUUCCAGGUGUAGCGGUGAAAUGCGUAGAUAUCCGGAGGAACACCGGUGGCGAAGGCGGCUUCCUGGACCGACACUGACGCUGAGGCGCGAAAGCGUGGGGAGCAAACAGG